ACCGGCAUGCACUGCUUCAAGUCAGAUUCCAAUCGGUUUGCGCAGCGCUUCAUGAAGUCGAACGCACCUAUUGGAUGAACCUAUCAGGCUAGAUGAAAUAAUUACCUGUGUAGCAUGUAGGAAAGUAGGUCAUGGGGGUGGGGUCAUCUGCCUAGGUAUAUCAGGUGAUGCAGAUUAGAGGUAGACUAGUCAUUUGUACGAGUGACUGCCACAUGGUAAUGGAGUGGGGAGUUGAUUGGGGGAAGUGACGGAGUAGGUAGUGGGGGAUGGAUGAAUCUGAGCGUGGGUUUGGAGAGGAAGGUAGGCCAAAACGCAAGAAAAAGAAAUUUAAUAAAACCAGAUGAUGAGGAUAUGGAUAUCUCACAGCAAAUUAUCCAGUGUUGAAAUCCUAGUGUUGUGGAAUUUUAGAGUAAAGUGUUAAAGUUGUGGUGUUGAAUUUUAAAGGAUUAACACUAACUAGUGUAAACAGCCCCCUCUGGGCGGUGUUAAUACGCAGAGUUACCUUUAUUAACACUGUUGAGUGUUAAUAGUCACAUCCGGGACAUUUGCUCGUGUGCGCGCCUGACCCAUCUGAAAUAUUUUUUCACAGACACCAUUUUCUUUGCUCGCGAUGCGGCUCAUAUGAGAACGGAAUACGGCAAAAUAAAUUGUAUAAUCUUACUCAGAAAAUGUGUUUUGUAAUAUCAUAUCAUUUUAUAACGACAUUUAUUUGCUGUGUGCACAUAAACGUUUCUCAAGGACAUUUCCUUUCACUCACGAUGCGGAACAGACGAGGACGUCAUUUACUCCAAAACUUUUUUCUCAAGAGAGAUAUUUUCUUCCACUCACGAUGGGGAGAAUCUGUUUCUUAUCAAAGGAAAACACCAUAAAUUUGAAUCGCUAUGCAGCGCAGACCAUGGAGCAGACGCGGGUUACUUAGAGAAGGGAGAGAGCAGAAAGAGAUAUGUUCUUUCACUCGCGAAGCUGAGCAUACAAGGAAGUUGGUUUUAACAAGGAAAACACCGAAAGAGCACUUUUGUGAUGCUGCAAGUGGGAGUGGAUUUCUUGCUUGAAAACUGCAGAGAACCACAUCUUGUCCUGAAAAAAAGAAAGACUACUUUCUCCAAGGAGGUCCAAACGCCAUUGGCACAGACUUUGUUCAGUGAUCAGUAAACUACAUUCAGCCAGGGCCGUCCUUAGAGGGGUGCAACUGGAGCGGUCGCACCGGGCCCCGCACUUGAGGCGUAAACGGACUGAAUGAGCCCCCCCCUCCGCCAACCCGGGAACGCUCCCUACUUCACACCGGGCCCCGAAUCAGAUAAGUACGGCCCUGCAUUCAUGGUUGAUGGUAAUGAAUGAGAUGCUUUGGUUUAAGCAGAUAAAUGUAAGCACUAUAAACCUGAUGAAAUUGAGAAUACAGGUGGACCAAAUACGUUUUUUGUGCCUUUGCACUGAUUUGCUUUGACAUUGUUUUAA